GAUGAACGCUGGCGGCGUGCCUAAUACAUGCAAGUCGAGCGAACGGACGAGAAGCUUGCUUCUCUGAUGUUAGCGGCGGACGGGUGAGUAACACGUGGAUAACCUACCUAUAAGACUGGGAUAACUUCGGGAAACCGGAGCUAAUACCGGAUAAUAUUUUGAACCGCAUGGUUCAAAAGUGAAAGACGGUCUUGCUGUCACUUAUAGAUGGAUCCGCGCUGCAUUAGCUAGUUGGUAAGGUAACGGCUUACCAAGGCAACGAUGCAUAGCCGACCUGAGAGGGUGGUCGGCCACACUGGAACUGAGACAAGGUCCAGACUCCUACGGGAGGCAGCAGUAGGGAAUCUUCCGCAAUGGGCGAAAGCCUGACGGAGCAACGCCGCGUGAGUGAUGAAGGUCUUCGGAUCGUAAAACUCUGUUAUUAGGGAAGAACAUAUGUGUAAGUAACUGUGCACAUCUUGACGGUACCUAAUCAGAAAGCCACGGCUAACUACGUG
rnacentral:rRNA from 1 species